rnacentral:rRNA from 1 species
CGCCGCGUGAGCGAUGAAGGCCUUCGGGUCGUAAAGCUCUGUUGUUAGGGAAGAACAAGUACCGGAGUAACUGCCGGUACCUUGACGGUACCUAACCAGAAAGCCACGGCUAACUACGUGCCAGCAGCCGCGGUAAUACGUAGGUGGCAAGCGUUGUCCGGAAUUAUUGGGCGUAAAGCGCGCGCAGGCGGUCCUUUAAGUCUGAUGUGAAAGCCCACGGCUCAACCGUGGAGGGUCAUUGGAAACUGGGGGACUUGAGUGCAGAAGAGGAAAGCGGAAUUCCACGUGUAGCGGUGAAAUGCGUAGAGAUGUGGAGGAACACCAGUGGCGAAGGGGGCUUUCUGGUCUGUAACUGACGCUGAGGCGCGAAAGCGUGGGGAGCAAACAGGAUUAGAUACCCUGGUA